rnacentral:rRNA from 1 species
UACAGAGACUGCAAGCGUUUAUUCGGAUUCACUGGGCGUAAAGGGUGCGCAGGCGGUCGGGUGUGUCAGAUGUGAAAUCCCGAGGCUCAACCUCGGAACUGCGUCUGAAACUACUCGACUAGAGUACUGGAGAGGGUAACGGAAUUCACGGUGUAGCAGUGAAAUGCGUAGAUAUCGUGAGGAACGCCAGAGGCGAAGGCGGUUACCUGGACAGUUACUGACGCUCAGGCACGAAAGCAUGGGGAGCAAAAGGG